rnacentral:tRNA from 1 species
GGGGUAUGGCGGAAUUGGUAGACGCUACGGACUUAAAAUCCGUUGGCUUUAUUGACCGUGAGGGUUCAAGUCCCUCUACCCCCAAACU